UACGGAGGGAGCUAGCGUUGUUCGGAAUUACUGGGCGUAAAGCGCGCGUAGGCGGUUAUUCAAGUCAGAGGUGAAAGCCCGGGGCUCAACCCCGGAACUGCCUUUGAAACUAGAUGACUAGAAUCUUGGAGAGGUCAGUGGAAUUCCGAGUGUAGAGGUGAAAUUCGUAGAUAUUCGGAAGAACACCAGUGGCGAAGGCGACUGACUGGACAAGUAUUGACGCUGAGGUGCGAAAGCGUGGGGAGCAAACAGG
rnacentral:rRNA from 2 species